rnacentral:rRNA from 1 species
UCGCAUCUGUGCAUGCAGCAUAUCAAUAAGCGGAGGAAAAGAAACUAACAAGGAUUCCCCUAGUAACGGCGAGUGGAGCGGGAAGAGCUCAAAUUUGAAAUCUUAAAGGGUUUCCCUUUACGAAUUGUAGUUUAAAGAAGUGUUUUCUGUUGAGGUUUUGGUAAAAGUUCUUUGGAAUAGGACAUCAUAGAGGGUGAGAAUCCCGUAUUUGACCUUUACUUUCAACUUUGUGAUACACUUUCAAAGAGUCGGAUUGUUUGGGAAUGCAGUCCAAAAUGGGUGGUAAAUUUCAUCUAAAGCUAAAUAUUGGCGAGAGACCGAUAGCGAACAAGUACCGUGAGGGAAAGAUGAAAAGAACUUUGAAAAGAGAGUUAAACAGUACGUGAAAUUGUCAAAAGGGAAGCGUUUGACACCAGUGUUGUUUUUCUGAAAAUCAAUUAAAGAACUGUUUAUGCUAAGCUGUUUAGACUUUAUCAGCUAACUGUUUAGUUUUGAGCUUUUCUUUAAUGCACUUUUCAGUUAACAAGUCAACAUCAAUUUCUUUUGCUGUAAAAAAGCUUGAGGAAGGUGGCUUGAGAUUCGUCUUAAGUGUUUAUAGCCUCUUGCCUAUGCAGUCGGAGGGAUUGAGGUCUGCAGCGUAGAUCCUUCGGGGCUAAAUGCAUUUGUGCUAAGUUAUAGCAUUUUAUAGACAACUUGUUGACUAUGAUUUGUCUUGUAGCUUACUCGCUUAUGUUAUUUUACCUACGCUUAGGAUGUUGAACGCGCACAGAGUCUC